UUAGUGGCGGACGGGUGAGUAACGCGUGGAUAACCUGCCGUAUACAGGGGGAUAACACUUAGAAAUAGGUGCUAAUACCGCAUAAGCGCACGGUUCCGCAUGGAACAGUGUGGAAAACUCCGGUGGUAUACGAUGGAUCCGCGUCUGAUUAGCCAGUUGGUGGGGUAACGGCCCACCAAAGCGACGAUCAGUAGCCGGCCUGAGAGGGUGAACGGCCACAUUGGGACUGAGACACGGCCCAAACUCCUACGGGAGGCAGCAG
rnacentral:rRNA from 1 species